UACGGAGGGUGCAAGCGUUGCUCGGACUCACUGGGCGUAAAGAGCGUGUAGGCGGCUUCGUAUGUCUGGCGUGAAAGCCCCGGGCUCACCCCGGGAAGUGCGCUGGAAACUGCGAGACUAGAGUCCCGGAGAGGAAGGUGGAAUUCCAGGUGUAGCGGUGAAAUGCGUAGAUAUUUGGAAGAACACCGGUGGCGAAGGCGGCCUUCUGGACGGUGACUGACGCUGAGACGCGAAAGCGUGGGGAGCAAAUAGG
rnacentral:rRNA from 1 species